rnacentral:lncRNA from 1 species
CUGGGGCGUUCUCUGUGUGCUGCCACGCGAUCCAAACCGACUUGUCUGGUGACUGGUAGCAAGUUUCAACUGUUACUAAAUCAACUGGGGAAAGCUUCCGGGGAUGGUGUUGGGUAUAGGAGAUGGAAGCGCCCGGAUAAAAAGAGCGUGCCGUGGGUACGUCCAGAGCUGUCAGGAGUCUCCAGGAAACAGCUGGCACGGGACUUGCUUGAGUUUCCAGAGCCUGGGAAAUUGAAGCAUAACAUAUUUAAAUUGGUGUGGCUUGCUGGGCAACUGGUCCAUGGCACUCUCGUUGCUCUGGGGCUGAGCUGCCCCGAUAGCUUGGCAGAAACGUCAGCUCAGCGUCGGCAUCCUUACCAGGUGAGACAGCGGCGUGACCGCAGCACAGGCUGGUGCACGCUGCGCUGCUCACAUGUGUGCGGAUGUUUGCUCUGCCAAGGGAGGUGGCCAGGCAGCAGGAGCAGGCUGUGGGAGCACGGUGGAGGGCUGGCUGGGAGCAGGGCACGGGGCAGCGGGGCUGCGGGGGGUGCAGCCUUUGCCAGCCUUGGGGGAACACGAGCCGGGUGAGAGGUGACCUCGUGUGUAACGGGGCUCUGUGCGACACUGGGUGUGUUUAGCGAUGGAAGCUGUGGUCGUCCCUUCUGCCAUUCCAGUCAAGGCAAAUGCCACACAACAGCUAUUAUGGCCUGAAGGAGUAAGGGUCAGGAAUGCCAGCUUAACUCAUUACUGUGUCUGACGGCUGUAGGACGGGGCAUGCUUUGAGCGCUGCUCUCAUGCUAGCUGCCUGCAGGACAGAACAGAACAGAAAAGAUCCCUCACCUCAUGCCAUUGCUGCUCCUCACUUCCCAUUUCUACAAGCUUUGUGAUCUCCAGGGCGAGGUGAAAACCUCAAAUCCCCCAGAAGAACAGCUAACUUCGUAACUCUUUUCUUGGUCUGUGCAACACCUUUCUAGUAAAUCACUCUGCUUGGGAUCACAACAUCUCUGUUUCCUCCAGGAAAGUUUCUCUGUGACUUACUGUGUUCAAGCUCCGGCUCCACGCUGUGCAAUUAUGGUAUUAAAAAGAGAGAUCUUCUGUCAUACACUUCUAUUUAGGUGAACAACUGAUAAACAGAUUAAAGGCGAAAUUGUAGACUAGCAAUUAAGCCAUCAAAGGAAGCCUACAGCAGAUUUUGUUAAAGGCCAAAUCCCAUGGUUCUUACCCAGGUUAAACCAAUCAGUUCAACAGAGCCAAUGCGGCUGAGGUUUUAUCAGUGCAGCAACUGCAAGACGUGGCCCUCUGUGCAGCUUGCUUACACUCGUUAUCUCUGGUUUGUCUCCAGUUUCAGCUGCUUAUUCUCACUGUGUGAAUUUAUUAGUCACUUGUAAUUUCUUCAUUGAUUUUUGUUAAACUGUUUCCUG